AUCCGCUUUGAGAUGGCCUCGCGUCCGAUUAGCUGGUUGGUGAGGUAACGGCCCACCAAGGCAACGAUCGGUAGCCGGACUGAGAGGUUGAACGGCCACAUUGGGACUGAGACACGGCCCAGACUCCUACGGGAGGCAGCAGUGGGGAAUAUUGCACAAUGGGGGAAACCCUGAUGCAGCGACGCCGCGUGGAGGAAGAAGGUCUUCGGAUUGUAAACUCCUGUUGUUGAGGAAGAUAAUGACGGUACUCAACAAGGAAGUGACGGCUAACUACGUGCCAGCAGCCGCGGUAAAACGUAGGUCACAAGCGUUGUCCGGAAUUACUGGGUGUAAAGGGAGCGCAGGCGGGAAGACAAGUUGGAAGUGAAAUCUAUGGGCUCAACCCAUAAACUGCUUUCAAAACUGUUUUUCUUGAGUAGUGCAGAGGUAGGCGGAAUUCCCGGUGUAGCGGUGGAAUGCGUAGAUAUCGGGAGGAACACCAGUGGCGAAGGCGGCCUACUGGGCACCAACUGACGCUGAGGCUCGAAAGUGUGGGUAGCAAACAGGAUUAGAUACCCUGGUAGUCCACACCGUAAACGAUGAUUACUAGGUGUUGGAGGAUUGACCCCUUCAGUGCCGCAGUUAACACAAUAAGUAAUCCACCUGGGGAGUACGACCGCAAGGUUGAAACUCAAAGGAAUUGACGGGGGCCCGCACAAGCAGUGGA
rnacentral:rRNA from 1 species